GAGCGAUAGACGAUCGCGCGCGCACGCCACUCCUGCGCACCUCCACGAGUGUUUUGUGUCGAAACUGAACAAACGAGCUAAAGUUAUCUGUGACUGUGUAUGUGUUUAAUUGUUCUAGUGUAUUAGCUGAUUGGAGAUCCAGCCAGGUAUUCUUGUUGACCUGGUUCGUCUCGGCAUAGAAGCUGGACAUACAACAGUGAAAUUCGUACGUUGCGAUCGAUUUACCAACGUAUUGUAUUAGCCAAACGCACGUGACCACCGGACACUUUUACAAGAGAUGAGGUGGCAGAUAUAGCGAGGUCGGGAUGGGCCAGGCGGGCAGCCAGCCGGCCGGCGCGGCGCCGCAACGCGCCCGCCGCGCGCACACCCUGCCCCACGAACCACCGCGCCUUGCGCCCAAGGUCCUUCCGUCGCUUCCGGAUUCGCCACAUCUGCGCAGUACCGACAACGGCGCCAUCCUGCACUCAGGGGGCACCAUUAGUGGACGGAGGCCCACCUCCAUCCUACAUGAACCUAGAGUCCCCCAUGGACAUGUGCAUUCCAACGCGUUUCGGUCUCGUUCGGCGGGUGGCGGUGUCGAAACUGGUGACCUUCGAUCCAGGGAGAGAGACCCUUUGCAUAGGUCACACACAAACCUCGACCUUAGGCAUCAUGAUGGCAGUAAUUUAAAUAAGAAAUUUGGAUCCGAGCCUGAUCUUAGAUUAGAAGAAGAACAACAUAAACCAAAAUGUACCAAUAAACAUUUUCGUAAGAAAUAUCGAGCACCCCCACCUCCAACGCAUGAUAAUUUCGAGGGUUCAUCACCGGAUUCGAGUGAAAGAAAUGCUAAAACGGAACCACAACGAAAACUGCGGCUUUUUAAAACAAGAAAUGAAACGAAAAAGAUGAAUGGCCUUGUAGAUAAUAACAAAAUGUACAGAAACACAAACAAUGGCUACAGAUCUCUAGAUUUGAAUGAAAAUCAAGCUUUUGAGAGAAGAUAUAGAUCACCUUGUAAAGAUAAAGAACAGCAUCUUAAAUAUCCAGACAGCCAAGAUAUGGUACAAAGUACAUCGUCAUUAAAAAGAGAAGAGCGCUUGCUACAACUGAGACAAGACUACAAAAAGGCUAGAACUGAUAAAGUCAGUGGAUGUAGAGCGAAAACAUCAAAGACAAUGGAACAAGGGGAAGCAUGGAAAACCCCCUUACUUAAUAGGAAUUUUAGGUAUUCAGAAAGGUUUAAAAAAGACGAUAGCGAACAACCAACCUUAAGAAGAGAAAAAACUUUCGACAGCACUUUGCCAUCAAGUGAAAAAGAUUGUGAAUCUCCAAAAAUUUCACAUGAAAGUAAGAUAAAAGCUAUAGGCGACCAGCUGAGAGGAAAUCGGCUGACACCUUUAGCAGAAACCAAUAAGCCUUUGAGAAAAUCUCUUCCAUCACUAUUGCCCAAAAGUAGUGACGAAAAAGAUGAAUUUCAAGCGGAGCUCAAAAAGGCUACAAGUAGAAUAAGAAACGAGUUAGGCAAUAAAAUUAAUAUUAGUGAAAACAGAACUAGUCAGAGCGAUAGAACGAACACACAGAAACCAAACCCAACGAAAUCAACAAUACAGAACAAAGUCAAAGAGUCUAGUCUUAAAACGAACAUUUCUAACAGGAAAGAAACAAAAACAGCGAUUACUAGAAGACCUUUGGUCCGAUCAAAUGAUACCAAAUUUAAAGUGACAAAUGCACAAAAUAAUGUAAAUGUAAAAAAUAACGCAGUAGUCAAUAAAUAUAAGUUCAAUAGUAAAGAGAGUGGAAAACCGUUGCCUGAUCGAGGACAGGCGUCUGGCAAGGAAUCAACUCCUGAACACUCUCCUACUAGAAAUAAUGUACCACCGACUGAACUUUCACAAGAUAAGAAAAAGCCAGCACCAUCAAAGCAGUUCUACUUUGGUAUGAUUGAAAGUAAACAAGCUGAGCCUCGGGAACACUUGAAAGACUUCCCUGGACUCGGCAGCCCCAUUAUAGAAGAGUUCAGCAACUUCCACCUAAUCGAGAAAAAGCUAUUAGGAUAUCACGACGAGGAUGCUGAAUUAGAAAAGUUCAAUGCAAAACUAAAAGAAGACUGCAAAGUUAAAAACUUGUCAUCCGAAUCAGCUUUAUCAUCAGGAUCGGAAGGUGAAGGUUCAGAAGGAUCAUUAGGUAUAGCGCUGAGACUACGACCAACUUUGCCUAAAAAGCAGCUGGCUGUGCCACGGUUUUCACCAGCGGCUGCAUGGAAGCAACUGGCUUCAUUAGACGCACAUUUAGCUGCAGAAACACAGCCACUUGCCGUGGAAACAAAGGUGUCGCCCAAUGUAUCACCAGAAUCCUCGCCGCGAUCAGAUCAGUCGGCUGACAAAUCAGGUGAUUCCGGGAUAUCCGGGGACCAUGCAAACAGCGAUCAAAGGAUAGACUCCCCACGGCAUCACACACAAGAAUCGUCACCAGCGGCAUGGACGCCACAGCAAGAUCUCGGCGACAGCAGUUCCGAUGGGGCUGGUGGUACACGAGGUGUGCUACUUCCAGGCGGUGCUGUGACGUACAACCCGGGAGCACAGCCAUUCAGCCUGUCUCUGCCUAGAGAUGCACAUGACAGAUUUAAAGGGAUGUCGUGCUUCUACGAAUGCUUUCAGGGGAAACAGCUGCAGCAAAGUUUCAACAGUCUACAGAAACUGAGAAAGUCGGUCUCGGGGGCACUCGGUGCGGCUUUAGGAUCCAGGAGGUUCGAUCUGGAGCACGAGCCGAUGUUACAGGAACCUGAACAGAACUGGUUCCUGACGAAGUCAGCGCCGAACUCUUUGAGUAAUCCGCUGUUGUUCCAGCAGCCUGCCAGGACGAAGGUAUCUGCUGAGGAUAAUAUCAAAGAAGAGUCGGUGCCGCCCUCAGAGAAGGAUGAGACAGGUGCGUGGCGGCCCAGCAACUCGUACCUGUCGUGGGGUGGGCAUGUGAUGUACCUGCCCCCGGCUCCGGCCGCCCCUGACCAGCCGCUCUCCAUCCUCGGCCCACUCGAUAGGCCUGUCAGGAGUAAAUCCAGCGGCUGCCUGGAGGUGGCGGCGCGAGCGGCCCGCGCGGCGCUCGCGAGCGAGAUGCGCGAGCGCGAACGAUCCGCCUCGCCGGACGUGGCGCGCGCGCUGCCUGCCCGCGUCGAACCAACCACUCGCAACAACAACGGACAAAGCCGAGGCAAAAGGUUUACGUUCCAGUCGACGGUCAGGCAGUUGGAGAGGCGGCGCUUGGCGGAGAAGCUCUCGAGAGAGGCAGACUUCAAGGAACAGCAGAGAAGGACAGAACUGGAAGCUAUGAGGCGGGUGGAAGAGGAAUUCCAGCGUAAACGAGCGAGAGAGAAGGCUAAUAUUAGACAGCAACUACGGCUGGUAAGCAGCGGAGCGGCCAGCAUGCCCACCACUACCAACCACGUCAAGGCACGCGACGAGCCAGACGGUUCCUGCAGGGAGUCUACCGCUCCAGAACGAAACCGGGACGGCAGGCAGCGGCACAGCAACGCGUCCUCGGAGAUCAGCGGACGUAGCAAAAGCACCACACCUAUCCGGUGCGUGGAGCUAUCCGAGUGGCGGGACGGCAGCGGGUCGGCGCGCGUGUACCGCGACUGGGCGGCGACGCCCGCGCUGGCCGGCUCCGCGCCUGCGCACGCGCACCCACCCGCCUGCGCACGCAUGCCCAUGUCCACGCACGUCGUUUACAACGCCGCUGCGGAAGUGGAGGCAUUCAGUGGUAGCCCUCGCUCCGACAACUACCGGCUGGAGUUCGCAAGGGGACGCUCUCCGCGGACCCCGCGCCCCCCCAGGCUGGUGACCGCGGCCAGGACGCCUUCUACCUCAGGCUCGGAGCUCUCGCUGCGACAACCUAUCAAGAUCAGGUGGUGAUUACCGGUCGUAGAGCUAUCUAACCUUUAACCGCCUUACGCCUACCCAAUACGGGAGUCUACAAAAGAGGAACCGGAAGAGCCCGCUAUUGUCCCCACCCUCCGGCCCUCUGGACCGCGCCGAACAGUCGUCACUCACUAGUGGACCGCUAAACGGUGCGGACGUGUUCUGUCAAUAUAUUACUAAAAAUACGUAGCUCUGACUGGAAAUUAAUUUUAUAUCGAAAGAAUUUGUAGACCUCUUAUUUAUGUGUUAAAAAUAUUAUCGUAAUAUAUCAUUAUUAUUGUAUGUUUUAAUUUAUAAAUUUGGAAAUUAGCAUGGUUCUAAAGAUGCUCAGAUAGUUGAUCAGAUUAAUUCCAACAUUGACGUAUUAGAAAUAUUCGUUAUUUGAAUAUUUCAAUACGAGUGCAGGAAUUAACAAAAGAUGGAAUCAAUGAACGUAAUGUGUCACGUGAGAACUUUUUUGUGGGUCAUUCGAAUGACCCUAAUUCUGGAGUAAGUACCAAGUCUUACCUUUUAAAACAUAAUUACUUUUGUACGUAACUUUUCGGCAAUCUGUUAUGAAUUUAAAAAAAAUAUCGCGUCUGUAGCGCAGAUAUGAAUACUGUACAUUUUAAUUUCAUUUAUUGCGAUAUUACUCCGAAAAGUGCUUUAAUAUUUCUUGUAUAAAAUUGUACGUAUUUUAGGAUGUUAGAUAGGUAAAAUAUAUAAUAAAAAUUAAAGUUGAAUUUAGAAUUUAAUUAAUAAACACUAAUAAUGCUAUAUCUAUUGUCUUCCAUUGUAUAUGAAUACUGAAGCUUUAAUGUAGACUUUAGAAACUAAAGAUUGGUAAAAACAGGUGCUAAUAAUAUGAUUUUACAUGGGUGACUUAAUUCUAAAUAAUAUUUGAAAUGAAUGUAUUCAGAACUUCCAUUAAAAUAUAAUAUUCGUUAAUAGAAUUUAACAGUUUUUUUUUUUUAUCAAUAUUUAAAAAGUUAUUAACAAAAAAUAAUGAAAAUUAAUAUCAUUAAAAUCUGUUUUAAAAUAAUAUAAAAUGUAUUAUACCGUAAGUCUAUUAUUAUUUUUUUGUAUUCUAUAACUAAGCACGUAAUUUUAAUCAUAUCUUAAUACUCUCAACCAUGUACACAAUAAAGCAAGUAACGGGUAUAUAUUACGCACUUCUGAAUAGUGGAAUGAUGUUUUUGUUUUAAUGAAUUGAUAUUUACCGUCCCUUUUAUGAGCGCUAUAACCUUUCCCUCGUCAAUCAAUCAUAUCAAAGCGGGUAAACUCGCCCCCCGUCCGAUCUGCCCCCCGUUCGGAUAGGUGUGACCGAGGUGCGCCGCAGCAGGGUUAACAGCAAAGGCCACGCCACGUGUUGUUAUUUCUAUCUUCAUUAAUUGAAAUGUCUAGAAAAUAAAAUAAAGAUUUUUUAUUUAUAAUUACUAUUUCUAAAUUUCAUAUAAUUCACAAUAUUGUGUUAUAUAAACUUUCAUAUAAAAUAUUAAAUUUACAUAUUUUUUUUUAUAUAUAUUUUUUAUAUAUAUUAAUCAAUGUGAAAUUUUUAAUAUGUUGCUGUACGUAACAACUAAAGUGAAACUAUUUAAUAAUGCAAACAUAUAAAUUUAAAUAUUAACAAAUACUCUUGCAUUAUCCACAUAAAUGACUGAGAAUGAUGAGUUUAAGUAUCAAUAUAGGUCAUUCCAUGCUCAAUGUAAAAAAUAAUAUAUAUUUAUUUACAUAGUAAAUAUACAAGAUUGUACUGGUUUUGGUGCUAUUUAUAAAAGAAUCUAUUUACUAUAUUUGUUAAAUGUGUAUAUAUACAUUCAAAAUUAACUCAUUUCUUUUCAAAUAGUACAAUAUAUAAAUAUUAAUAAAAUAAAAAAAAAAAAUGUUGGAGACGACUAA